GGAAUAUUGGGCAAUGGACGCAAGUCUGACCCAGCCAUGCCGCGUGCAGGAUGAAGGCGUUAUGCGUUGUAAACUGCUUUUAUACAGGAAGAAACGACUCUUGCGAGAGGCAUUGACGGUACUGUAUGAAUAAGCACCGGCUAACUCCGUGCCAGCAGCCGCGGUAAUACGGAGGGUGCAAGCGUUGUCCGGAUUUAUUGGGUUUAAAGGGUGCGCAGGUGGUUUAUUAAGUCAGUUGUGAAAGACGGUCGCUCAACGAUUGCAGUGCCAUUGAAACUGGUAGACUUGAGUAAAGUAGAGGUGGGCGGAAUUGAUAGUGUAGCGGUGAAAUGCAUAGAUAUUAUCAAGAACUCCAAUUGCGUAGGCAGCUCACUUGGCUUUUACUGACACUCAUGCACGAAAGUGUGGGUAUCAAACAGGAUUAGAUACCCUGGUAGUCCACACUGUAAACGAUGAUAACUAGGUGUCGGCCGAAUCUGGUCGGUGCCACAGCGAAAGCGUUAAGUUAUCCACCUGGGGAGUACGCCGGCAACGGUGAAACUCAAAGGAAUUGACGG
rnacentral:rRNA from 1 species